GACGAACGCUGGCGGCGUGCCUAAUACAUGCAAGUAGAACGCUGAAGAGAGGAGCUUGCUCUUCUUGGAUGAGUUGCGAACGGGUGAGUAACGCGUAGGUAACCUGCCUGGUAGCGGGGGAUAACUAUUGGAAACGAUAGCUAAUACCGCAUAAAAUUGAUUAUUGCAUGAUAAUUAAUUGAAAGAUGCAACUGCAUCACUACCAGAUGGACCUGCGUUGUAUUAGCUAGUUGGUGAGGUAACGGCUCACCAAGGCGACGAUACAUAGCCGACCUGAGAGGGUGAUCGGCCACACUGGGACUGAGACACGGCCCAGACGCCUACGGGAGGCAGCAGUAGGGAAUCUUCGGCAAUGGGGGGAACCCUGACCGAGCAACGCCGCGUGAGUGAAGAAGGUUUUCGGAUCGUAAAGCUCUGUUGUAAGAGAAGAACGGGUGUGAGAGUGGAAAGUUCACACUGUGACGGUAUCUUACCAGAAAGGGACGGCUAACUACGUG
rnacentral:rRNA from 1 species